GCGCGGAAGAUGUAACGGGGCUAAACCAUGCACCGAAGCUGCGGCAGCGAACGUAUCACUUAAAUUUGUUUGAGUGAAUAACGAUUGACGGAACGAAGUGACGUCAAUGCGUUAAUGAAAGUCGAGGCGAAAGCACGACAAAGCGAAUUUAAGGAUACGUUCGUUGGGUAGGGGAGCGUUCUGUAAGCCUGCGAAGGUGUACUGUGAGGUAU
rnacentral:rRNA from 13 species